ensembl:lncRNA
AGUUGGAAUUUAUUCUCCCCCCAAACCCAAAAUAAGUUUAUUUAAGUACAAAGAGUGCGUCAAAGAAAAAUAGAAAUAGCUGUACUUGGCCACAGCAAAGUCUCCUGGGGCCUUCCCAGGCAGGUGCGUCCUUCCGUCCGCCCCCUCUUGGGGACCACGUGUCCUGCCUGCUUACAGCCGCCUCCCGCAAGCCCGCCGUCCAGCUCGCGGGCCAGCGGGAGGUGGGUCUCUGUUGGCAGCUGGGGCCCCAGGGAGCUGCCCCGGGUCGGGGGGUGGGGGGCGCUGGCUGCAGGCACCGUGGCGCCGCCUCUUGUAGCAGGGCGAGGAGGAGUCGGGAGUCGGAGCCCUGCCCGCGGUGCCAGGGAAGCCACCCCGCUCCUCUGUGCCUUCUUUUUAUUCUUCUCUUUCCGGCUUUUCCCUUGGCUCUCGAGGCCGGCUCCGCCUUCUCCUCCUCUGAUCGAGGCUCCUUCCCGGCCAAGGCUCUCCACGCGACGGUGCGGGAAUACUCAAGAGCCCCAGCGCGCCGGCGAGCGCCUCCGGCUCCGCCCGCCUCGCGGCCGCCAGCUCCUCCUCGCGUCUGGGUCCCGCGCCAGUCCCGCGCCCGCGGCCCGGCCCCUGGGAGAAUGUAGUCUUCGUUCUUUCCUCUCCCUGUCCUCACGCUUCCACCCGGUCGCUAGUUCCCACUGAAUUCCGUGUGUUAAAUAUCUUCCAACUCCUCCCACAUCUCUAGCUCUAUUCCCUAAAUUACUGGAACCGUAUUCUGAUAGAUUUUUCUGCCUCGGUUUUUGUACCACCGGACUCCUUUCUCCGCAGUCAUCUGGUAAGAUCUUUCAAACAUGUGGUAGAAAUCUGAGCCUGUACGCGCCUACUUUAAAACUGUUAAAUGACUUCUCAUUGGCUUUUGGAUAGAGUUCUUCCUUUCUUAACAGGGCUAAUCAGAAACUUGACAAAUGGGUCCUGGGCUCUCUCUCCAAACUAACUUCUUGCCACUCAACCCCCACCCACUCCAUUCCAACUACCUUACUUUGCACAUAAUAAUUUCUUCUGCCCUGAACAUUCUCAUUUUGGUCUUUUUCCCUCUCCUUCCCCGGUAUUCUCUCCUACUCUCUGGCUACUCGGAGUCAACAUUUCAGUUUUAAUGUAACCAUCUCUUCUGAGAAGGCAUAUCUCCUUUCUUAGAGCUUUUUGUGCUCUUUGAGUCAGUUUUAGAUUAGAUUACAUUAGGUUUUCUUGCAGUUUCCACUUCCUUGUACCCCAUAUUUCCCUCAUUGUAACAUUAAUUGUGUUUCAUUUAACUACUUCAUUAUUUUUCUCUACUUCUAAAUAGACUGUAAACUCUACAAGGGCAGUUGGCUAUGUUUUCUCUGGCUACUGUGUCUAAGUACCCAACACAGUGCUCAUUGCUUAGUGACCUCAAAUAUUUGCUGAAUAAAAUGUAAAAAAUUGACAUAAAAAAUUAUAAAAAAGUUUGGCAAUAUUAUCAACCAUUCAAAUUAUCAGAGUCUUAUAUUUAAUAAACUGUAUUGUAAAUGUAAUGGAUUUUUGAUGAUUAUAUUUCUCUGUAUUUUUGGUUGUACAGGUAAUAGAAAUAAGUUACUGUAUUUUUAUAAGGA